CGAACGCUGGCGGCGUGCUUAACACAUGCAAGUCGAGCGGUAAGGCCUUUCGGGGUACACGAGCGGCGAACGGGUGAGUAACACGUGGGUGAUCUGCCCUGCACUUCGGGAUAAGCCUGGGAAACUGGGUCUAAUACCGGAUAUGACCUCCUAUCGCAUGGUGGGUGGUGGAAAGAUUUAUCGGUGCAGGAUGGGCCCGCGGCCUAUCAGCUUGUUGGUGGGGUAAUGGCCUACCAAGGCGACGACGGGUAGCCGACCUGAGAGGGUGACCGGCCACACUGGGACUGAGACACGGCCCAGACUCCUACGGGAGCAGCAGUGGGGAAUAUUGGACAAUGGGCGAAAGCCUGAUCCAGCCACGCCGCGUGUGUGAAGAAGGUCUUCGGAUUGUAAAGCACUUAAGUUGGGAGGAAGGGCAUUAACCUAACUACGUUAGUGUUUUGACGUUACCGACAGAAUAAGCACCGGCUAACUCUGUGCCAGCAGCCGCGGUAAUCUGAUGGCGC
rnacentral:rRNA from 1 species